CAGGAUGAACGCUGGCGGCGUGCCUAAUACAUGCAAGUCGAGCGAAUGGAUUAAGAGCUUGCUCUUAUGAAGUUAGCGGCGGACGGGUGAGUAACACGUGGGUAACCUGCCCAUAAGACUGGGAUAACUCCGGGAAACCGGGGCUAAUACCGGAUAACAUUUUGAACCGCAUGGUUCGAAAUUGAAAGGCGGCUUCGGCUGUCACUUAUGGAUGGACCCGCGUCGCAUUAGCUAGUUGGUGAGGUAACGGCUCACCAAGGCAACGAUGCGUAGCCGACCUGAGAGGGUGAUCGGCCACACUGGGACUGAGACACGGCCCAGACUCCUACGGGAGGCAGCAGUAGGGAAUCUUCCGCAAUGGACGAAAGUCUGACGGAGCAACGCCGCGUGAGUGAUGAAGGCUUUCGGGUCGUAAAACUCUGUUGUUAGGGAAGAACAAGUGCUAGUUGAAUAAGCUGGC
rnacentral:rRNA from 2 species